GAUGAACGCUAGCGGCGGGCCUAAUACAUGCAAGUCGAACGGGAAAGGUGGCAACACCUUGAGAGUGGCGUACGGGUGCGUAACGCGUAUACAACCUGCCUGUUACACGGGGAUAGCCUUGCGAAAGCGAGAUUAAUACCCGAUGGUACUAUUGAGCGGCAUCGCUUGGUAGUUAAAGCUGAGGCGGUAACAGAGGGGUAUGCGUCCCAUUAGCUAGUUGGUAGUGUAACGGACUACCAAGGCGACGAUGGGUAGGGGUUCUGAGAGGAUGAUCCCCCACACUGGUACUGAGAUACGGCCCAGACUCCUACGGGCGGCAGCAGUAGGGAAUAUUGGGCCAUGGACGGAAGUCUGCCCCAGCCACGCCGCGUGCAGGAAGAAGGUCCUCUGGAUUGUAGACUGCUUUUCUUGGGGAAGAAAACCCUUCUGCGGAAGGAAUUGACGGUACUCAAGGAAUAAGCAUCGGCUAACUCCGUG
rnacentral:rRNA from 1 species